AGCAGCCGCGGUAAUUCCAGCUCCAAUAGCGUAUAUUAAAGUUGCUGCAGUUAAAAAGCUCGUAGUUGAAUUUCGGGACCAUCAUGUUGGUCGUGCCUCGGUACGUACUGGCAUUGUUGGUUUCUCCCUUCUGACGAACCAUGAUGUCAUUUAUUUGGUGUCGUGGGAAAUCAGGACUGUUACUUUGAAAAAAUUAGAGUGUUUAAAGCAGGCUCACGCUUGAAUACAUUAGCAUGGAAUAAUGAAAUAGGACGUUUGAUUCUAUUUUGUUGGUUUCUAGGAUCGACGUAAUGAUUAAUAGGGAUAGUUGGGGGCAUUAGUAUUCAAUUGUCAGAGGUGAAAUUCUUGGAUUUAUUGAAGACUAACUACUGCGAAAGCAUUUGCCAAGGAUGUUUUCAUUAAUCAAGAACGAAAGUUAGGGGAUCGAAGACGAUCAGAUACCGUCGUAGUCUUAACCAUAAACUAUGCCGACUAGGGAUCGGAUGAUGUUAAUUUUUUCAAUGACUCAUUCGGCGCCUUA
rnacentral:sRNA from 1 species